rnacentral:rRNA from 1 species
UGGCGGACGGGUGAGUAACGCGUGGGUAACCUGCCUCACACAGGGGGAUAACAGUUGGAAACGACCGCUAAUACCGCAUAACCCGUUAGGGCCGCAUGGCCCGGACGGAAAAGAUUUAUCGGUGUGAGAUGGACCCGCGUUGGAUUAGCUAGUUGGCAGGGUAACGGCCUACCAAGGCGACGAUCCAUAGCCGGCCUGAGAGGGUGAACGGCCACAUUGGGACUGAGACACGGCCCAAACUCCUACGGGAGGCAGCAGUGGGGAAUAUUGCACAAUGGGGGAAACCCUGAUGCAGCGACGCCGCGUGAGUGAAGAAGUAUUUCGGUAUGUAAAGCUCUAUCAGCAGGGAAGAAAAUGACGGUACCUGACUAAGAAGCCCCGGCUAACUACGUGCCAGCAGCCGCGGUAAUACGUAGGGGGCAAGCGUUAUCCGGAUUUACUGGGUGUAAAGGGAGCGUAGACGGUUAAGCAAGUCAGAAGUGAAAGGCUGGGGCUCAACCCCGGGACUGCUUUUGAA